AACAUGGAACAAGCUCAGCUUCAAUCUCUCAGUAUUGAACAUCGAGCAAACAGACAUCGCUGUGUACUACUGUGGGAUUAUUAUUUAUAAUACAAUGAUUUUUGGAAAUGGAACAAGACUGGUGUUUGAAGAGCAUUUUAAUGGAACGGAAAUAAUUAAGGAGAAGGAAGAUGGCUGCAG